GUCCACUGAACCUUAUCAUUUAGAGGAAGGAGAAGUCGUAACAAGGUUUCCGUAGGUGAACCUGCGGAAGGAUCAUUGUCGAGACCCGCGAGGCAGACCCGCGAACGCGUUCCACGAUUUUUCCGGGAGGACGACGCUGAACUGCGUCGGACGCCCGUUCCGUCGGCGCGCCCCCGCGCACGUCGCACGGCCCAACGAACCCCGGCGCGAGAAGCGUCAAGGAACACUCAAAACACGCCGCACGCCCCGGGAUGCCCCGUCCGCGGUGCGCUCCCGGGGAUCGGGCGCGCGUCGAAUUCGAAACGACUCUCGGCAACGGAUAUCUUGGCUCUCGCAUCGAUGAAGAACGCAGCAAAAUGCGAUACUUGGUGUGAAUUGCAGAAUCCCGUGAACCAUCGAGUUUUUGAACGCAAGUUGCGCCCGAGGCCGUCACGCCGAGGGCACGUCUGCCUGGGCGUCACGCGCAUCGUCGCCCUCCACCCCCGCGGGGUGCUGGGCCGGAGAUUGGCCUCCCGUGCGCAUCCGCGCGCGGCCGGCCCAAACGCGAUUAGGCAUCGACGCGUGCCGCGACGAUUGGUGGUUGAAGACCUCAACUCGCGCGUCGUCGUGCUGGAGCGCGCCGAUAGCCCUCGACCCCCCCGGGUGCUCCGCACCUCCGAAGGGACCCCAGGUCAGGCGGGAUCACCCGCUGAGUUUAAGCAUAUCAAUAAGCGGAGGA
rnacentral:rRNA from 1 species